CUGUGAGCUGUCCCCACUCUAAUUUAUGAAGCGAAUUUGAGUACAGGGAUAAAACGAUAAUUUUAAAAUUUUUUUAAAAUUAUAAUUUUACAGUAAAAAUUAUUAAUUAAUAUAAUUAAUUAACAUGUAUUAACCCUACAUAAGGAUCUAAAUAUGAUAUAUAUAUCGCAUGUAUUUAAAUUUAAAAUUUAAACUUCUACAGUAAAUAUUUUACUGUUAUGUGUUCAGAACACAUUACCUUCGUACGAGUAGUCGAUCGUCGCAGUCUGAUCACUGUCGGGAUGGUCUGAUCAUCGUAAUGCAGCCACACAGUAUGUCUGGCCUCCGUGGAUCAUCCACAUGAAGCUCCCGGUCUGAUCAGCUCCGCAUGAAUGCUAGUUCGUUGCAGAACCUUUUCAACAGCUGAUGCUAAUCGAACUCCUCCGAUCGAUGUCUAUCGAUUCUUCAGACACUCCGAAUCAUCAGUAGAGAUAGUAGAGAGAUUGAUGAAGCUCUCCCUGAAGUUUGAUGGACUCACGACAUUCGUAGCUCACCUUCUCACUUUUCGAAUCCUAGGCAGAAAUCCUAAGGUACUCUCAGAAAAUCCUGCGCCCACUUUCGCUUUUCUUUUCUCUUCUCACGCAGAGGGUCUAUCUGACACCUUCUUUUUUCUCUGAGAUCAGAUUAGCGCAUGCCCCACUUUCUUAUUCCUUUUAAAACAAUACAAAAUGCGUCUUUACAGCAUUUUUACAGUGUGAAAGGAUAAAGCUAGGUGAUUGCUCACUUGAAUUCAAAUCGAAUUUGAAUUCAAAUGCCAACCAACCAAUCUUUAUCCACUCUUGACUUGAGAAGAGAGGGGCGUGGGCUUCUUUGUGCGUGGAGAGUUUUCAUGAGAAACUUUUUCUCGUGUAGAAUAAGUGGCGCACAAAAGAAAUGGGUGGCGCAUGGAUUAGUUGCCCAUUCAAAUUCAAACUUCCUUUGAAUUUGAAUGGCCAACCAAUCUCUCUUUAUCCACUCAGAUGGCGCACACAGGUGGGGCAUGGGAAGGCUUCUGCGUGGGAGAAAAUUCAUGAGAACUCAUUUCUCGUAAAUUCAAAUGGGCGCAGGAUGAGGUGAGGUGGCGCAGGGAGAUGAGUCAAGGU
rnacentral:lncRNA from 1 species